GGGCACAGGACCGCAGGCAGGGGUCCUGGAGCCAGAGAGCCAAUUCCUAUCCCCUCAGCAGCAUGGCAUCGUGUGUUGAACCCUCUGAGCCCUCUGCCCCCGCCUCCUGCCAGGGUCCCACUGCUCGAGGACUUCGAGGUGCUGGAUGGGGUCGAGAAUGCAGAGGGCAAGGAGGGAGAGGAGGAGGAAGAUGACCUUAGAGAGCUGCCACUGCUGGAGGACAUGGGACAGCCCCUGGUGGAAGAGACUGAACAGCCCGGGACCUUGGCCCGAGAGUUCCUCACUGCCAUGGAGCCUGAGCCUGCCCCGUCCCCGACCCCAGAAGAGUGGCCAGACAUAAUCAGCUGUUGAGGAAGAAGGCGCUUGUCCCAGGGCCACCGGGUUUGAGCUGCCCAGUCAAGGGCCAGGUGGUCACCAUGCAUUUGCAGACAUCACGAGAGAAUGGCAUGUGGGUGCAGGAGGAGCCGGAGCUAGUGUUCACCCUGAGCGUCUGUGAGGUCAUCCAGGCCCUGGAUCUCAGUGUUUAACUCAUGGACGUGGGGGAGGCAGCCAUGGUCACUGCUGACUGCAUGUACUGCUACAGCCCCCAGGACAGGAGCCCAUACAUCCCCCGCACGCGGCCCUAUGCCUGGGGGUGACCCCGAAGAUGGCCGUGGACUGGCCUGACCUGGAGAUGCUCAUAGGGCAGGAGCGCGUGGCCUUGGCCAACCGGAAGUGGGAGUGCAGCAGUGCCCACUACCAGUGGGCGGACUUCGUCCUGGCCACCAACUCCUAUGACCUUGCCAUCAAGACCGUCACCUCCAGCGCCAAAGUGGACAUGACGUUUGAGGAGGAGAAGCAGCUCCUGCAGUUGAGGGUGAGGUGUCUGAACAACCUGGUGGCCUCACAGGUGAAGCUCAACCACUACUGUGCAGCCCUGCGCUCCUGCAACCUCGUUGGAGCACCAUCUGGACAACAUCAAGGCUGUCUUCCACAAGGGCAAGAUACUGCCCCAGCAGGCCAUCCCUAUCCUGAGGGCGGUCCUGAAGCUGGAACCUUCCAACAAGACUAUCCACGCAGAGCUCUCGAAGCUGGUGAAGAAGCACGCAGCACAGCGGAGCACGGAGACCGCUCUGUACUAGAAAAUGCUGGGCAACCCCAGCCGUGCCCCAGCAAGGGUGCCUGGUCCAGCCCAUGGAAGUGGCUGUUUGGGGCGACUGCUGUUGCUUGGGAGGGUGUGGCACUUUCUGUGGUAAUUCCUGCCAGGAACUGACCGCCCAGGUGGCCACCACCCCGUCUGCACACCAUGGACCCUGCCUUGCGCUCCCUAACUCCCCCAGGCUCCCUGUCCACUGCCCUCCCUGGUCCAGCCGCCUCCUCCGAGUUGGAGGCAGCAAGGAUUGGGGGUUGUGCAGCCCAGCCAGUAGGAGGGACUGAGGCCCUCUAGGAGGAAUGCUCAGAGCAAGGGGGCCCUCAUUCCUUCAGACCCAGUUUCCCCCCAACUCCCCAUCUCCCGCUGGGCUAGGUCUCCGCUGGGGCUGGCCUCAACUUCUCCUCAACAGGCUUGGGGGCAGCCCCUGCUGCCUUGCCUGCCCCACGCUGUCUAGGCUGCUUUCCCGCCACAGUGAAAUAAAGCCUCCUACCCUGCAAAAAAAA